UACGUAGGGUGCGAGCGUUAAUCGGAAUUACUGGGCGUAAAGCGUGCGCAGGCGGUUUGUUAAGACAGAUGUGAAAUCCCCGGGCUUAACCUGGGGAACUGCAUUUGUGACUGGCAAGCUAGAGUAUGGCAGAGGGGGGGUAGAAUUCCACGUGUAGCAGUGAAAUGCGUAGAGAUGUGGAGGAAUACCGAUGGCGAAGGCAGCCCCCUGGGCCAAUACUGACGCUCAUGCACGAAAGCGUGGGGAGCAAACAGG
rnacentral:rRNA from 1 species